GACGAACGCUGGCGGCGUGCUUAACACAUGCAAGUCGAACGGAAAGGCCCUGCUUUUGUGGGGUGCUCGAGUGGCGAACGGGUGAGUAACACGUGAGUAACCUGCCCUUGACUUUGGGAUAAAUUCAGGAAACUGGGGCUAAUACCGGAUAGGAGAUCCUGCUGCAUGGGGGGGGUUGGAAAGAGUCGGCGGUUUUGGAUGGACUCGCUGCUUAUCAGCUUGUUGGUCGGGUAGUUGCUGACCAAGGCUUUGACGGGUAGCCGGCCUGGGAGGGUGACCGGCCACAUGGGGACUGAGGUACGCACCAGUCUCCUACGGUAGGCAGCAGUGGGGAGUAUUGCGCAAUGGGCGGACGCCUGAUGCAGCAACGUCGCGUGCGUGAUGACGUCCUUCGGGUUGUAAACCGCUUUCGCCUGUGACGAAGCGUGAGUGACGGUAAUGGGUAAGGAAGCACCGGCUAACUACGUG
rnacentral:rRNA from 1 species